rnacentral:rRNA from 1 species
AUUGAACGCUGGCGGCAUGCCUUACACAUGCAAGUCGAACGGCAGCACGGGUGCUUGCACCUGGUGGCGAGUGGCGAACGGGUGAGUAAUACAUCGGAACAUGUCCUGUAGUGGGGGAUAGCCCGGCGAAAGCCGGAUUAAUACCGCAUACGAUCCACGGAUGAAAGCGGGGGACCUUCGGGCCUCGCGCUAUAGGGUUGGCCGAUGGCUGAUUAGCUAGUUGGUGGGGUAAAGGCCUACCAAGGCGGCGAUCAGUAGCUGGUCUGAGAGGACGACCAGCCACACUGGGACUGAGACACGGCCCAGACUCCUACGGGAGGCAGCAGUGGGGAAUUUUGGACAAUGGGCGAAAGCCUGAUCCAGCAAUGCCGCGUGUGUGAAGAAGGACUUCGGGUUGUAAAGCACUUUUGUCCGGAAAGAAAUCCUUGACUCUAAUACAGUCGGGGGAUGACGGUACCGGAAGAAUAAGCACCGGCUAACUACGUG